rnacentral:rRNA from 1 species
CCUACGGGUGGCAGCAGUGGGGAAUAUUGGGCAAUGGGGGAAACCCUGACCCAGCAACGCCGCGUGAAGGAAGAAGGCUUUCGGGUUGUAAACUUCUUUUACCAGGGACGAAGAAAGUGACGGUACCUGGAGAAAAAGCUCCGGCUAACUACGUGCCAGCAGCCGCGGUAAUACGUAGGGAGCGAGCGUUGUCCGGAUUUACUGGGUGUAAAGGGCGUGUAGGCGGAGCUGCAAGUCAGAAGUGAAAUCUCCGGGCUCAACCCGGAAACUGCUUUUGAAACUGUAGCCCUUGAGUAUCGGAGAGGCAGGCGGAAUUCCUAGUGUAGCGGUGAAAUGCGUAGAUAUUAGGAGGAACACCAGUGGCGAAGGCGGCCUGCUGGACGACAACUGACGCUGAGGCGCGAAAGCGUGGGGAGCAAACAGGAUUAGAUACCCGUGUAGUC